GCGAAAUAGCUCAGUUGGAAGAGCCUUAGACUAUAGAUCAAAAACUUUCUGGCUCGAUCCCGGGUUCCGACA
rnacentral:tRNA from 1 species